rnacentral:lncRNA from 1 species
ACUCAAGAUGGCGAAACCUCGGCCGCCGCGGCUAUAUUCGCCGCGGCGUCACUGCCUUCCUGGCCUGGUGGUGAGAGGAAGUCGGGCCGCGAAAGCUUCCUGAGGAGAAAAUGGAGGGCCCUUCUCUCACACCGACGAGAAAAGUUCGAGGGGGAAAUACGAGUUCCUUUCUGAAGGGACAGGACGGCUGCUUUUCCACAGCCGCGACGUGAUUGAGAAAUGGUGGCUGGCAAGGGUAGGCCUGCCUUCGCCCCUCCAAAGUAAAAAUCGGGAGUUGAGACCAGAGGAACAUCUCUUUAUUACAUGACUAAGGAUAUGUUUUGAAAACUGGCCCCCGGGCAGCUGCUCGGGGACAGGAAGCUGACCUGACUUCUCCAGCUGGCCGGGGAGGCUGAUGCCGGGCCUAAGGGGCCGCGUCCGAGCCUCUCGGGGCGCGCCUCCAUGCAGGAAGGCGCGGAACUAGCGACCCGGAGACGCCGGGCGCGCGUCUGAGUGUGGGGGCAGGAAGGGG